rnacentral:rRNA from 1 species
ACGGGAAAUCUCACCAGGCCCGGACACCAGAAGGAUUGACAGAUUGAUAGCUCUUUCUUGAUUUGGUGGGUGGUGGUGCAUGGCCGUUCUUAGUUGGUGGAGUGAUUUGUCUGGUUAAUUCCGAUAACGAACGAGACUCUGUCCUGCUAAAUAGAUGCAGCCUUUUUUUGGGUUGUAUUUUCUUCUUAGAGGGACUGGCGAUUAUUAGUCGCACGAGAUUGAGCAAUAA